AGACAAUCAAGGACAACCCGGGAGGGCAUCAAUGGAAACCAACAUGUGGGGGUGUAGAUGCAAUUUUAAAUGACAAACAAUCAUCUGUAUCUCCAGAUGAUCUCCUCGCUCUUACGCAGCAAUGUUCAAAUGAACUGCUUCAAUUGGAGUUAGAGAAGACCCGUUUGAAUAGUGCGUGUUUCGUUGAGACCAGCCCGUUAGAUUCAAUAUCCCAGUAGCCAAAUUUGCCUACUCGUCUUCCAGAGCUCCGAGCAGAAAUUAUAGAGACGCACAAAUAAUGGAUUCUCCAGUUAGAACCAGACCCAAGCGAAGAUACGACUAUCUACAUCCUCUCUGCAUUGCUACACUGUUAUAACAAAUCUGAAGCGUGUUGGUAAUUAUGAUACCAAUAACUCUCUUCGUUCCAACUUUUGACACCAAUACUCUCUCUGUGUCUAAUUGAUUUAUAAAAUUAAUUCACCUUUUUACUGUAAAUUUACAUGUUUACAAAUUACAAAAUCUUUCUUCUUGACAUCAAUCUUGUUUGCAUCGUGAACCGUGAAUCAGUUCAGUGGUUCUGGUUAAUCAAAAUGUCUGCUGGAGAACAUAAUCAAAAUAGGCAACACCACUUCUAUUAUGAUGAGGCAAGUUAACAAAGGUUUCAAAUACAAUAUCUCAGCUACAUUCAGUUAAAAUGUUUGAAAAAACAAAACACACAAAUACAAAUCAGAAGCUAAGGAAUCAUUAAAAGAGGCAGCUACAGAUUUGUGAACACAAAAACGCUGUAUCUGAAGUCAAGUAGUCCUUAAAGGCGGCGACACCAAGAUCACUCCAUCUCCUCUC